AUGAAGGUUGAAGAAGCAUUGGAAGAUCCGGAUUGGAUAAAUGCCAUGCACGAAGAGCUACACAACUUUGAGAGGAACCAAGUGUGGACAUUGGUUGAGAAGCCCGACAACAACCACAACAUCAUUGGUACCAAGUGGGUGUUUCACAACAAGCAAGACGAAGAUGGACAAGUCGUUCGCAACAAAGCACGUCUCGUCUCCCAAGGCUACACUCAAGUCGAAGGUAUGGACUAUGGUGAGACAUAUGCCCCCGUUGCUAGACAUGAGUCCAUUCGCAUAUUACUUGCUUAUGCCAAUCAUCAUGAUAUCACUUUGUACCAAAUGGACAUUAUAAGUGUUUUUCUAAAUGGUGAAAUUGAGGAGGAAGUUUAUGUUAAACAACCUCCCGGCUUUGUUAAUCCUAAGAAACCCGACCAUGUUUACAAACUUCACAAAGCUCUUUAUGGUCUUGACAAGCUCCUAGAGCAUGGUAUAAAUGCUUGA
rnacentral:rRNA from 1 species